rnacentral:rRNA from 1 species
AUUGAACGCUGGCGGCAGGCCUAACACAUGCAAGUCGAACGAGUGGCGGACGGGAGAGUAAUGUCUGGGAAACUGCCUGAUGGAUGGGGAUAACUACUGGAAACGGUAGCUAAUACCGCAUACCAUCGGAUGUGCCCAGAUGGGAUUCGCUAGUAGGUGGGGUAAAGGCUCACCUAGGCGACGAUCCCUAGCUGAUCUGAGAGGGUGACCAGCCACACUGGAACUGAGACACGGUCCAGACUCCUACGGGAGGCAGCAGUAGGGAAUAUUGCACAAUGGGCGAAAGCCUGAUGCAGCCAUGCCGCGUGUAUGAAGAAGGCCGUCGGGUUGUAAAGUACUGUCAGCGGGGAGGCGUUACCCGCAGAAGAAGCACCGGCUAACUACGUGCCAGCAGCCGCGGUAAUUC